ACUCUCGGCAACGGAUAUCUUGGCUCUUGCAUCGAUGAAGAACGUAGCAAAAUGCGAUAGCUGGUGUGAAUUGCAGAAUCCCGUGAACCAUCGAGUCUUUGAACGCAAGUUGCGCCUGAAGCCGUCAGGCCAAGGGCACGCCUGCCUGGGUGUCA
rnacentral:rRNA from 1 species